rnacentral:lncRNA from 1 species
GUUUCUGAAAAGGCAGAGAAUUCAUGUACCCUGCAUCAGGCCCUGCUGCUAAUCCUGGCAGUCUGAGCCACAGGCGGUUGUCUGAUGUUCAGCAUCCUCCUAUCCUGGUGGAUUAUAUCAUGAACAGCUCUGCCUGGGGUCAUUUGUGAAGAGAUAUCUUGGAGGACAGGAUCAUCACUGGUUGGGGACCAGCGUGGCUGCUUAAAUUGUCCAUCCUGGUGUCUGUCAAGAAGGACUCCAGGAUCUUGGCCAGCUGGAGCCAGAGAGGCUGCCAAGUCCGUCAGGUUGAUGGAGCCAGCAGGCUGUUCCACCUGACUGUCUGGAAGCAUUCCUUUGCUCUCUUGAGAGUUUCCCAAUGCGUCUCCAUUUCCUUUGAAAGAAGGUUCACCCAUGAUUGCCAGCGUCUAUGUCAGGUCUUCUUUGCAUGGGUGCUGAGACUGCAAAACCCAGAGACCCAUGGCCCCUCUCAGCACUGUUUUAGCUAUCUUCCAGCUGCACAAGCACUGAAAAGCUCCAAAAAAUAUCUAAUGAGGCAGAUGAAAAGACAC